GACGAACGCUGGCGGCGUGCUUAACACAUGCAAGUCGAACGGAAAGACGCCUUCGGGGGUCCUCGAGUGGUGAACGGGUGCGUAACAGGUGAGUAACCUGCACUUGACUUCGGGAUAACUUCAAGAUACUGGGGCUAAUACCGGUAAGGAAUACUUUCUGCAUGGUGGGGGUUGGAAAGCUUAGGCGGUUUUGGAUGGACUCGCGGGGUAUUUGCUAGUUGGUUAGGUAGCGGCUUACGAAGGCUAUGACGGGUAGCCGAACUGAGUGGGCGACCGGCCACACUGGAGCUGAGACACGGUCCAGGGGCCUACGGGAGGCAGCAGUAGGGAACCUGCCGCAAUGGGGGGAAGCCUGACGGAGCAACGGCGCGUGAGUGAUGAAGGUCUUCGGAGCGUAAAGCUCUGUUAUUAGGGAAGAACAAAUGUGUAAGUAACUAUGCACGUCUUGACGGUACCUAAUCAGAAAGCCACGGCUAACUACGUG
rnacentral:rRNA from 1 species